rnacentral:tRNA from 1 species
GUCCCCAUCGUCUAGAGGCCUAUGGACACUGCCCUUUCACGGCUGUAACAGGGGUUCGAAUCUCAGCUUGGGGACGCCA